rnacentral:tmRNA from 1 species
GGGGCUGAUUCUGGAUUCGACGGGAUUUGCGAAACCCAAGGUGCAUGCCGAGGGGCGGUUGGCCUCGUAAAAAGCCGCAAAAAAUAGUCGCAAACGACGAAAACUACGCUUUAGCAGCUUAAUAACCUGCUUAGAGCCCUCUCUCCCUAGCCUCCGCUCUUAGGACGGGGAUCAAGAGAGGUCAAACCCAAAAGAGAUCGCGUGGAAGACCUGCCUGGGGUUGAAGCGUUAAAACUUAAUCAGGCUAGUUUGUUAGUGGCGUGUCCGUCCGCAGCUGGCAAGCGAAUGUAAAGACUGACUAAGCAUGUAGUACCGAGGAUGUAGGAAUUUCGGACGCGGGUUCAACUCCCGCCAGCUCCACCA